GAUGAAGAACGUAGCGAAAUGCGAUACGUAGUGUGAAUUGCAGAAUUCAGUGAAUCAUCGAAUCUUUGAACGCACAUUGCGCCCGCCAGUAUUCUGGCGGGCAUGCCUGUUCGAGCGUCAUUUCAACCAUCAAGCCCCCGGCUUGUGUUGGGGACCUGCGGCUGCCGCAGGCCCUGAAAACCAGUGGCGGGCUCGCUAGUCACUCCGAGCGUAGUAAUACAUCUUGCUCAGGGCGUGCUGCGGGUUCCGGCCGUUAAAAGCCUUAUUUACCCAAGGUUGACCUCGGAUCAGGUAGGAAGACCCGCUGAACUUAAGCAUAUCAAUAAGCGGAGGA
rnacentral:misc_RNA from 1 species